CAGAUAAACAAGGCGUAACAUGCUCAGAAGAGUUUGAAUCCUUCCUGGUCAAGAGUCACUAAAGAGAAGAUUCAUAAUUGUCUCACAAGUCUUGGUGAUUUUUCAUUGGCCUUGAGUGAUUAAGACUAUCGGAUCCAUUGGCAAGUCAAAUACGGAGAGGCAAUGAAGAAGGAUGCUACAGCAGCUGGUGUCACUGUCCGCUAUUUUAAAGAUGAGACAACACCUACAAAACUUGCGGUGUCUGUGUUCUUGGUAGAGAAAGAU